rnacentral:misc_RNA from 1 species
GAUGAAGAACGUAGCGAAAUGCGAUAAGUAAUGUGAAUUGCAGAAUUCAGUGAAUCAUCGAAUCUUUGAACGCACAUUGCGCCCCUUGGUAUUCCGGGGGGCAUGCCUGUUCGAGCGUCAUUUCAACCCUCAAGCUCAGCUUGGUAUUGAGUCCAUGUCAGUAAUGGCAGGCUCUAAAAUCAGUGGCGGCGCCGCUGGGUCCUGAACGUAGUAAUAUCUCUCGUUACAGGUUCUCGGUGUGCUUCUGCCAAAACCCAAAUUUUCUAUGGUUGACCUCGGAUCAGGUAGGGAUACCCGCUGAACUUAAGCAUAUCAAUAGCGGAGGA